rnacentral:lncRNA from 1 species
CUGAGACCAAGGUGUCUUUAUUUAGACAGGAAGUCAAUGCUGAGACAAGGUUUAUUUUACAGAUGAGUCUUGUAUAGCACCACAAUACACAUCAAAAUACAGUAAACACAUUAAACUACACAUUCAUAUACACAUUAAAAUAUGCGUUAUUAUACACAAAAAAACACGUUAUUAUACACAACAAUACAAGAAAAGCAAAACCCAAUCAUAAAAAACUGACCGUCUGAAAUGCCACAGAGGGUUCCCUAACAACCGUCUGAAAUGCCACAGAGGGUUCCCUAACAACCGUCUGAAAUGCCAUAGAGGGUUCCCUAACAACUGUCUGAAAUGCCACAGAGGGUUCCCUAACAACCGUCUGAAAUGCCAUAGAGGGUUCCCUAACAACCGUCUGAAAUGCCAUAGAGGGUUCCCUAACAACCGUCUGAAAUGCCAUAGAUGUUCCCCUAACAACCGUCUGAAAUGCCAUAGAUGUUCCCCUAACAACCAUCUGAAAUGCCAUAGAGGGUUCCCUAACAACCGUCUGAAAUGCCAUAGAGGGUUCCCUAACAACCGUCUGAAAUGCCAUAGAUGUUCCCCUAACAACCAUCUGAAAUGCCAUAGAGGGUUCCCUAACAACCGUCUGAAAUGCCAUAGAGGGUCCCCUAACAACUGUCUAAAAUGCCAUAGAGGGUCCCCUAACAACCGUCUGAAAUGCCAUAGAGGGUCCCCUAACAACCGUCUGAAAUGCCAUAGAGGGUCCCCUAACAACCGUCUGAAAUGCCAUAGAGGGUUCCCUAACAACCAUCUGAAAUGCCAUAGAGGGUCCCCUAACAACCGUCUGAAAUGCCAUAGAGUAUUGCACCCCUUAAGCAAAUUAGGGUUAAGUGCCUUGCUCAUGGGCACAUCAACAGAUUUUUCAAUGUUGCAUUAAACGGUAAGGGAAUGGUGAUAUGCUAGCAACUUUUGUAGUAUAAUAUGGAUUUUUGAAAUAUUGUUUGAAUGCAAAAGCAAACAUUCUCAUUGUGGAAACAUAGAGCUCUCUACUGGAGUGAGUUAGGAGAGAAGCCCCAGUGGAGAGACGCCCCAGUGGAGAGACGCCCCAGGGGAGAGACGCCCCAGCGGAGAGACGCCCCAGCGGAGAGACGGCCCAGGGGAGAGACGGCCCAGGGGAGAGACGGCCCAGGGGAGAGAUGCACAAGUGCAGAAAGACAUGCAAUACUGUAAAUGACAUUAACACUGAUACAAAACAGAGAUGUACAUCAAAUCACAACAUUGACACAUAUAACGCUGUUGCAAUCCACAAAGUUGAACAAAGUUUUUUUUUUCAAUGAAAUACAAAACCCUUCAUGUGCUCACAUAUCAUAUAGGUACACACUGCUAUGAAGGUUACAGUAAGCACUACCAUGAAGAUACACAGGGUUACAGGUUACAGUACAAACUACUAUAAAGCUAUACAGGGUUACAGGUUACAGUACACACUACUAUGAAGCUAUACAGGGUUACAGGUUACAGUACACACUACUAUGAAGCUAUACAGGGUUACAGGUUACAGUACACACUACUAUGAAGCUAUACAGGGUUACAGGUUACAGUACACAAUACAAUGAAGCUGUACAGGGUUACAGGUUACAGUACACACUACUAUGAAGCUGUACACGGUUACAGGUUACAGUACACACUACUAUGAAGCUGUACAGGGUUACAGGUUACAGUACACAAUACUAUGAAGCUGUACAGGGUUACAGGUUACAGUACACACUACUAUGAAGCUGUGCAAGGUUACAGGUUACAGUACACAAUACUAUGAAUCUGUACAGGGUUACAGGUUACAGGUUACAGUACACAAUACUAUGAGGUUACAGUACAGAAUACUAUGAAGCUGUACAGGGUUACAGGUUACAGUACACACUACUAUGAAAACAUAUACAGGGUUACAGUGUACAGUACUGUACACACGUUGUCACUUCCAUCAGUUCCCUGAGUGGGGUGUGGAGGGAUGGGUUCAGUCUCCUAGUUAGAGUGGAUGGGUUCAGUCUCCUAGGUAGAGUGGACGGGUUCAUUCUCCUAGGUAGAGUGGAUGAUGGGUUCAGUCUCCUAGGUAGAGUGGAUGAUGGGUUCAGUCUCCUAGGUAGAGUGGAUGAUGGGUUCAGUCUCCUAGGUAGAGUGGAUGAUGGGUUCAGUCUCCUAGGUAGAGUGGAUGAUGGGUUCAGUCUCCUAGUUAGAGGAUGGGUUCAGUCUCCUAGUUAGUGGAUGGGUUCAGUCUCCUAGUUAGAGUGGAUGAUGGGUUCAGUCUCCUAGUUAGAGUGGAUGAUGGGUUCAGUCUCCUAGUUAGUGGAUGAUGGGUUCAGUCUCCUAGUUAGAGUGGAUGAUUGGUUCAGUCUCCUAGGUAGAGUGGAUGGGUUCAGUUUCCGAGUUAGAGUGGAUGGGUUCAGUCUCCUAGUUAGAGUGGAUGGGUUCAGUCUCCUAGUUAGAGGAUGGGUUCAGUCUCCUAGUUAGUGGAUGGGUUCAGUCUCCUAGUUAGUGGAUGGGUUCAGUCUCCUAGUUAGAGUGGAUGAUGGGUUCAGUCUCCUAGUUAGAGUGGAUGGGCUCAGUCUCCUAAUGUCCAGCAUUAUGGUCGUAAUGGUGUUGGUGGCUGCAUUUUCCUCAGCCAAUGUAGAGUGGAUGGGCUCAAUUUCCUGGUAGAUGGGAUCCGCCUGUUGUUGUAUAGGAUUUCCAAGUGUGGGAUGUUUCCCUUGCUGCUCCACUGUGGGGGGACUGGGAGGAGGAGAGCUGGGGGGUGGUCGACUGGGAUGGGGACCUGGAGGAGGAGAGCCUGGAGGGGUCUCCUGG